GUAUGGUGCACCAGAUGACACAGGCGACCUCCAGCAUACUGGGGGUGAAAUGAGGUCGAUCACCUGAUGUGGAGAGAGAAAUGAGGAGGAUACAGCCAAAAGCUUCAAACGCUUCACAUGAGUCCAUGCGGAGUUAAUAGGAAAUGCUUAAAAAACGGACCCACGGUGACGGCUCUGAGAAAGUCCGAUAAUCUGCAGCUCCUGUCAGUCCCAUCUCCUCCUUCUCCUCCUCCUCCUCCUCCUCCUCCUUCUUCUCCUCCUCCUCCUCCUCCUCCUCCUCCUCCUCCUCCUCCUCCUCCAAGAGUCCAAGGUCGCCGUGCGGCUAUUUCCAGCUCGUCUUCGCUCUGAUCCGUGUCGCAAAAUGACAAGGCCACAAGGAUUGAAGAUGUGAAAAGGGGGUUGAGACGAUGUGUGGAGGAGGAGCUGGGGUCCCUGGUGUUUUCCAUCUGCAAUCAAGAGGAGGCCUGGCUGGGAUUGGCUGUUCACAGUUGUGAUCAAUCAGCAGUGUGGUACUUGAGGAGGAGUAGUGAACCACCGGUGCAUCAGUCCCUCGUGUAGCCCUCGUGCGAAGACCUCUGUGUGUGUGUGAAGACGGACGUGGGUGAAGGCCUGCGACUCAACCGAGCGAGGACGCUGCACAAGGAGACCCGGUGAGGACGGAGGAUCCAAUUAGGGGAGUCAACGAGGUGCAGCCCUGCGGAGGUGUGAUUGGCUGUUCACAGGUGUGAGCAAUCAGCAGUGUGGACAGCCGGUUUACCCACUCGCUUGGAAAGCAAAAACUGAAGACCUGUGAGUCCACUGAGCAGGGGACUCUCUCUGGACAGCCGGUUUACCCACUCGCUUGGAAAGCAAAAACUGAAGACCUGUGAGUCCACUGAGCAGGGGACUCUCUCUGGUAAGUCACUGCACAUGUAUGCACCUAUUUUCUGCACUUCUGCCAGGCCCAGCGCUACCCUCAUUGUCUCACUCUCUCUGCUGUGUGCAGGACAGCCGGUUUACCCACUCGCUUGGAAAGCAAAAACUGAAGACCUGUGAGUCCACUGAGCAGGGGACUCUCUCUGGACAGCCGGUUUACCCAGUCGCUUGGAAAGCAAAAACUGAAGACCUGUGAGUCCACUGAGCAGGGGAUUCUGUGGGACACUCUGGUAAGUCACUUCCACCACCCUCAUUGUCUCUGACAUGUAGGAACAGCAGAUCUAUUUAAGUAUUUGUUUGACAAGUAGUAGCAUACCAGGAUGGAGCUGGUGAUGCUAGUGUGACCAUUUG